UACGUAGGGUGCGAGCGUUAAUCGGAAUUACUGGGCGUAAAGUGUGCGCAGGCGGCUUCGCAAGUCGAGUGUGAAAUCCCCGAGCUUAACUUGGGAAUUGCGCUCGAAACUACGGAGCUGGAGUGUGGCAGAGGAAGGUGGAAUUCCACGUGUAGCGGUGAAAUGCGUAGAGAUGUGGAGGAACACCGAUGGCGAAGGCAGCCUUCUGGGCCAACACUGACACUGAACCGCGAAAGCCAGGGGAGCGAACGGG
rnacentral:rRNA from 1 species